rnacentral:rRNA from 1 species
GACGAACGCUGGCGGCGUGCUUAACACAUGCAAGUCGAACGAUGAAGCCUAGCUUGCUAGGUGGAUUAGUGGCGAACGGGUGAGUAAUACGUGAGUAACCUACCUUUAACUCUGGGAUAAGCCUGGGAAACUGGGUCUAAUACCGGAUACGACCAAUCUCCGCAUGGGGUGUUGGUGGAAAGCGUUAUGUAGUGGUUAUAGAUGGGCUCACGGCCUAUCAGCUUGUUGGUGAGGUAACGGCUCACCAAGGCGACGACGGGUAGCCGGCCUGAGAGGGUGACCGGCCACACUGGGACUGAGACACGGCCCAGACUCCUACGGGAGGCAGCAGUGGGGAAUAUUGCACAAUGGGCGCAAGCCUGGUGCAGCGACGCCGCGUGAGGGAUGACGGCCUUCGGGUUGUAAACCUCUGUUAGCAGGGAAGAAGAGAAAUUGACGGUACCUGCAGAGAAAGCGCCGGCUAACUACGUG